CAUCUAAUCCCAGCACUGCCCACAUUAGAGUCGCUAAGCUACUCUGUGAUGACUGCACAGAGAGAAUACUUGUUCACUCGCACCUCCCAGGAACACAGGAUUCUUACUGGCAGGUGCCUCCCAGGAUAUGGGGUUCACCUGGGCAGUUAUCCCACAGGGCUCAGCACCCGGAACUUUCCACAAAGCCCUCUUUUCAGAGCACCCCAAGCCCUUUUGUUAGACAGAUCUGACCUUGAGCCCCUCAGAGCAGGACCUGAGGUAACAAACAGCAGCUUCUGGACAGGCAGAGGUGAGGAAGCAAGAAAACAGGCAGUGGGAGCAGGACAGGAGAAGUAACUCAGGUAAGAAAGUGGGAAGCUUCCAGAAGAUCACCCAGGCUAGGACCAUCCUGCCUGACCUACAGGAGCCAACUCGAAGAUCACCACAGGCCCAUAUAGAUGGGUACAGACGGUGGCCACACACAUGGAGUCUAUAGAGAAUGAGGCCCUUGGAGUCACCUGGAACAGAUGAAGGCCUGGCUUCAUCAGCUUGACAUGUUGGAUCAUAGUUCCCUGACAAAGGAUCAAACCUGUAUCCCCUGUAGUGGAAGUGCAGAGUCUUAACCACUGGACUGCCAGAAACAAACAUUAUGUUCUUGACAGCAUCUCAUUGCAGACGAGUCAAUGAUUCCCAGAAGCUACAAUAAUUACACAGGCACCUACAAUGUGAAGUAGUAAACAGUGAGGUGUAAUAUGGGAGCUAGAGCAGCUGAUAAACAAAUCAAAGGCCUGAAGACAUCUGGAACACAGAGGGAAAACAAAAGGAGACUCUUACCACUGUCUUCAAAUAUUUCAAGGCUAAAGUAUGAAAGAAACACUGACCUUUUUUCUGUGUCCUGAGAACAGAAAUUUAAUUUUAAAUGAAUUAACUUUUAAAAGCCGCAGGAAGCUAAUUUCAGACCAACAACAAUAAAAGAAUUUUCUUUUUUUUUCUCCAGUGU
ensembl:lncRNA